rnacentral:lncRNA from 1 species
UUCAAAUACAAAACAGGAGGUACGAUAAUAAUAGACUCGGCAAAAUAAACUAUACCACGAUAACUCUGACACCAACUAAAAGAAUGAAUGCUACCAUGCAUUACUAGAAAGCAAAAAAAAACAGACUCAAAAAUAAAAAGUCUCCUCAAACAGCUCCCAAAUGUGAUAGUCCUGGGGUAUCUGUCGUGCUCGAGCUCUGGUAAAUGAAUCCAUGCCUGAAUGAGAAAAAUAAGACCAAACAAAAUAAAUGACUCGAGACACUAUGUGAGACCACACCUCCUUUUGGAAACAUGCAAGACAAUAUUGGGCUAAUUUUUAAAAUUAACCUACAUGGCCAUGAGUGGAUAUUAAUGUAAAUUUAACAAAAUUGACCUCAUGGACAUGAAAAAUUCCUCACCAAGGCUUUUAUGGAUUCAAACUCCCAAUAUCAUGGCCUAAAAUUAAUUUUCAAAAAUACCCAAUUUUGCAAAAAUAACUGAUAUUACCAAAAGUGGCCAAAGAUGCAAACUCAAAAAGGACGGACCAUUAAGUAAUAUGAAACCUAGUUGUGGACUCAAGAUUCUAAGACAUAGUUAAUUGGAACACUUUUGCAAAAAUAACCUUAUUUUCUAGAAUGCCGAUGUGGCCAAAAGUGGCUAGACAUGCAAGAUAUGGCUAAGACCCCGCAAAGCCAAGAACCUAAGACUUACUAGGAAGACCAUACCAUAUGUGGUCUGCCUAUGUAUCUCGUACCAAAAGACGAGAAUCAUGUACGAGUAGUUCGAGAAGAUCGGACAUGGGAGAAAGCUUUAAAAAACACUAAUUUGGAAAAACUAUUUUUUUUUGUCUUUUUGAAAAAUGAUGGAAUAUAAAAUCAUUUUAGAUUUUUUUUUUAAAAUUUUUGAAAAAUGAAGGGAAAGUGUAAAAUCUUUUUGAAUUUUUUAUUUAUUUAUUUAUUUAUUUAUUUGGUAAAUGAUGGGAAAGUGUAAAAUCUUUUUGGAUUUUUCAUUUUCAACUUUUUUUUUUGGUCUUUUCUUGAAAAGGUUGUGAAAGAAAAAUUUAAUUGGGUCCUACUUGCUUCAUUUUUCACCUUUCUUUCCCAAACAUCUGUUUGCGAAAUGUCCUUUUUACCAUCAAAGAUGCAACAUGUAUCACAUAGGGAUGACUGAAUGUCUUUUGGGGCCAGGGCCCAUUUUUUACAAAAUUUGGAUAGUCCUACAAAGAGAUACGGUACUUGGGAUCGAUCCCUACUAGAUGUAAAUGACAUGAUGCAAAUAAAAAUGACCUAAAGGCUUAACUAAGUUUAGGCUUCACUAACAACGCAAUUCGGGGAGGCACGUGGUCGAUGGCGGCUGCAUUAGCUGUCUGCCCACUCCACGCUCCCACGCCACCCCGUAAAGACAAAGGUGACUCACAAAAAGGCCGUGUACGCUCAAACGUAUUCCGGAAGACUUGUUACAGAAAGAAGACUCAUAGUUAUACAAAUGAUGAUAUAUAAACGGUAACCAUAUAAAGAAAAGCGAUAAACAAAUAACCAACAAAACAAGGAAAUAAGACAAACAAAUCAAAUAAACAAAGCAAAUAAAAAAGCAAACACCUCAACCGAAUAUCCUAAAAGCCAACAAGAUAAGUACCGGCUUGAACAUGCAACUCCCCAGCGGAGUCGCCAGAGAUGUCACACCCCUUUUCACAACUUCACUAAACCUCUCAAAUAUAUAAAAUAUUUUUGAAAUAUCAAAAGGGUUUUCAUUUAGAAAAGUGAAAAAAAUGGUGUUCAUAAGGAUUAACUUAGAGUCGCCACCUAACAUUAGUUUCGGUGUGUCAGGUCACCAUUUUUGUAAAACUAAAUUUUUCCUUUUUAAACACUUUGGACUCCCAAAAUUAAGUCUGCACUAGUAAUUCGGGUAAGGGGGUUCAUUUGACUCGGGGAGAAGGUUUCAGGCACUUUUCAAGUCCCUGAAAGUUACGGCUGCGUACUCUAUCUAGUUGGCUUUUAGAAUAUUCAAAUUGAGGUGAAAAUAAACAUGGAAAAUAAAAAUAAAUACACAUGAGGCUCCAGCCCGUACCCAUAUAAUAAAGAAAAAAAUAAAAUAAAAAUAAAAGUAAAGUAAAGUACUACAAGUUCUACUUUCGCCCUCCAAAUACAAAUACUUUGGGGCAUACCCCGGAUAAAAAUAUAUAAAAAUCCUACGGGGCAUUCCCCUGAUAAAUUUAACUAAGGGAACGACCUAUCACCUCGAAACUAACAAAAAUCCUAAGGCUUGCUUACCCAAGUGUUGACGGCCUAUGCAUGUUCCUACUCAUAAAUUAGUAAAUAGAUCUACGUAAGUGAAAAAUUUAGAAUACUAACAACUCGUAUUUUAUCUCAUUCCAUAUCUUUUAGGUCCAAUUUUAUUUUAAAUCGUAUCUCCCCAGAUUGCUCUUUUACAACAACUAGCAGUUCCAUUUUCCAUUUCAAAUUAAGCAUAUGAUUCCUAUAACUAAACGUGCUAUUCCAAUUUACUCACAAUCAAUUCAAGUAGACAUACGAGUGGGCACAUUCAAAACCAUAGAUAACAAGUCACAAAAUCGAAUCACGAAGCAAAUAGUUAACAUUAGAAGGAGUAAAGGAUUGAACCUUACCGUGCGUAACUUUUUGAUUAAUCGAGAGAACACGGGUACAACACCUAGAAUCUACUGAAUCCAAUCGCAAAAAUACAGCAGCAAAUGAAUUAAGGGCCACGAACUGGAACACGUGCGUCACGAAUAGAACCUAUAAAUAUACCACUCGAAUUUCCUCAUAUGUCUUGAGAGAUUUCAAAAUAGAAAUAUACAGAACAAAACUACUAGAAAAGUAAAAGCGGUUACAUAAGAUUUCCUAAAGGAUUUCAUAAAGGUUCUGCUCAUGGUUUGUAUAUAGAACAGCAGAUAGCAUCUGUUGCUGCUAGCUGGAGGAUGGUUGCUGGGAUAAUCAGCUAAGCUCAUUGGGCGGAGUAGGCAGCGACAACUCUGGGGAAACGACGACUGAUUUUGAAGUAAGGGAGAUGGCCGUUGGGGUGGUCAUUUUUGUGCGUGGUGAUGGAAUUCUUCUAGGCGUGCUCAAAAAGAAGAAGAAGAAGAAGAAGAAGAAGAAGAAGAAGAAGAAGAAGAAGAAGAAGAAGNNN